GUGUGACGUCACAAGCAACUAUAAAAGCAGCACGCAGCCUUUCUCGCUCUCUUUUCUAGGUCAAAUCUCGGGUAGAGAAGACAAGGCUAGAGGACGAAACGAAUGUGUUAGGCUCGUGAAUGUCUGAGGACUGCAAAUCAAAGGUGGAAAGUCUUCAGUGGAAAUCAUCAGUUUUGCCAAGUGUUUGAGGCUGACACUUAGGGUCUUGUGACUUAACCUGGAGCUGUUUGAUGCUAGCUUGAGUGCUUUUAAUGCAACUUGGACUGUCUGUAACGUAAUUUGUAUUUAUUAAAAUAUUUUUUAACUCAAUGCUGUUUCUUGGAUACACUAAAGUAAAAUAAGAAUUGAUGGUGCUGUAGAGCAGGUUGGGGGUGCUGAUCGAGACCACCGGUGUGCUCAAAGCUGAACUCGAAUGACACGGUUCACCCUGAAAACACGUAACCAUCAUAAACAUGAAGUAGAAGUUUGCGUGGGUUUGGUGUCGCUGCGAUGACCGCACCCUGGAUGAGGUCAUCUGAUGUUGCAGCGCACAAACCCAUGUGCGGGUGACAAAUCACGCAUGAUCACUGAUAGUGUAGUUUUCACAUCACAAAGAAUUCCCGCUCAUGAACUCUAGAUGCAAUAAAGUAUUUUGAUACAUUGA